rnacentral:rRNA from 1 species
AUUGAACGCUGGCGGCAUGCCUUACACAUGCAAGUCGAACGGCAGCACGGGGGCAACCCUGGUGGCGAGUGGCGAACGGGUGAGUAAUGCAUCGGAACGUGCCCAGUAGUGGGGGAUAACUAGUCGAAAGAUUAGCUAAUACCGCAUACGACCUAUGGGUGAAAGCGGGGGAUUCGCAAGAACCUCGCGCUAUCGGAGCGGCCGAUGUCUGAUUAGCUAGUUGGCGGGGUAAAGGCCCACCAAGGCUUCGAUCAGUAGCUGGUCUGAGAGGACGACCAGCCACACUGGGACUGAGACACGGCCCAGACUCCUACGGGAGGCAGCAGUGGGGAAUUUUGGACAAUGGGCGCAAGCCUGAUCCAGCCAUGCCGCGUGCGGGAAGAAGGCCUGG